AGCGCCGGUGGCGGGGGUCGCGAGAGGCGUCAGGAUCCCUGGCGCCGCCUGAGCCAGCGGCUGCUAGGAGGCUGUGUCCGCAAGCCAGCGGGGCGAGGCACCUGGGGCCUGCGCGUCAGGUCCCGGCCUGGGGCACCGGGGCUGCCAGCGUCGGAGGAGGCCUGAGACCUGGGAGGAAGCUGGAGAAAAGAUGCCCUCUGAAUCUUUGUGUUUGGCUGCCCAGGCUCGCCUUGACACCGAAUGGUUGAAAACAGAUAUACAGAUGAUAGUGUCGAACCAAGUGAAACAAAGAAAGAAGAUCUGAAUGACAAAGAGAAAAAAGAUGAAGACGAAACUCCUGCACCUGUAUAUAGGGCCAAGUCAAUUCUGGAGACCUGGGCGUGGGGCAAGCAACCAGAUGUGAAAAGAGAGGUCCAAAGAACUCGAGCAAUUUUCCCUAAACCGUGUCCCUCGCAGAUGGAGAGAGAGAAUCAAGGAAAACUGAUGCUUCAGAAAGAUGCCCCAUAUGUAUCCUGUGGCACUCAAAGUACCCCAGGUUGAGAUGAGAUGAGGAAGAUUCAAGUUGUCAAGUCCAGUUUCCCAAGAUCUCUUGCACAGAAGAUGAGCAAAUCUCACUUCAAAGAUCACUGAGUGAUGGGCACUCUGGUCCCAGAACCAUGGAGAAUUCAAAUAUGAGGUGACAGAGCCCUCAAGGGGACAGAGCCCAUGCUCAUAACCAGAAGGAGCCCUGGCAUUCCCUGGACGUGAAGCACUAUUUGUCCAUUCAGCAAGAAUUACUCAACCCCUAUCUGCCAACCCAGAGGCCCAGUGAUGAACAGGACCAAUCCAGUUCUUGCCCCCAUGAGGCCUUCAUUUUGAUGGAACAAUCAGGCUCAAGAACCUCUUAAGGAGUUGCUAAGAGGUUCCUGAAUGAGUGGGCCCAAUUAACUGCAGUCAAGUCUGCUGUGCUGAGGCCUGGCAAAUCAGUUUGAGGAUUGAAGCUGGAGCAUCGGAACUUCAGGAAAAGAAGGAGCAGCGCAAGGAAGACUGAGAUGAUUUCUGAUGAUCAUCAGAGCAAAGGAAGUGCUGAGCAGUGAAUGAGGCUGUCUUAAUUCUCCCACUUGAGCUUGAGAGCAGCAGUCAGGAGCUGUCUGCAUCUCCUUUCAUUCUCCUUUCAUUCAACGUUAUGUAACAGUCCCUCUAAAAGGAAACUCUCUACCUAGCUACUGAAUUAAUUGAUGUCCUUAAGCCCUGGGGGAACCUCUGUGGGCAGCCAUGUUGCUGCCUCAAAAUGGGAAGAAAGAGAAAUCACUCAGGGGAAUAUAAUUUUGUAUUGUUCUUCAUGAGACAGGAGAGAAGAAGGGAGUGUUGGGAGUUCUGGACUGGAAGAAAUGUGUGUAACUAAAUAUAGUAAUUGCAUUAUUCACAGCAG
rnacentral:lncRNA from 1 species